rnacentral:ncRNA from 2 species
UCCACCGAGGGGCGCUGCGACCGCUGCCGGACCCGAUCCGCACGGCCAGGCUCGGUGGCAGGGCUGGUUCCAACGGCGCCCGGCGAAG